rnacentral:rRNA from 1 species
GAGCGGAGAUGAGGUGCUUGCACCUUAUCUUAGCGGCGGACGGGUGAGUAAUGCUUAGGAAUCUGCCAUUUAGUGGGGGACAACAUUCCGAAAGGAAUGCUAAUACCGCAUACGUCCUACGGGAGAAAGCAGGGGAUCUUCGGACCUUGCGCUAAAUGAUGAGCCUAAGUCGGAUUAGCUAGUUGGUGGGGUAAAGGCCUACCAAGGCGACGAUCUGUAGCGGGUCUGAGAGGAUGAUCCGCCACACUGGGACUGAGACACGGCCCAGACUCCUACGGGAGGCAGCAGUGGGGAAUAUUGGACAAUGGGCGGAAGCCUGAUCCAGCCAUGCCGCGUGUGUGAAGAAGGCCUUUUGGUUGUAAAGCACUUUAAGCGAGGAGGAGGCUACUAGUACUAAUACUACUGGAUAGUGGACGUUACUCGCAGAAUAAGCACCGGCUAACUCUGUGCCAGCAGCCGCGGUAAUACAGAGGGUGCGAGCGUUAAUCGGAUUUACUGGGCGUAAAGCGUGCGUAGGCGGCUUUUUAAGUCGGAUGUGAAAUCCCCGAGCUUAACUUGGGAAUUGCAUUCGAUACUGGGAAGCUAGAGUAUGGGAGAGGAUGGUAGAAUUCCAGGUGUAGCGGUGAAAUGCGUAGAGAUCUGGAGGAAUACCGAUGGCGAAGGCAGCCAUCUGGCCUAAUACU